GUAAAAUUCCGAUAAUAUUCCUGCCUACACGUUGGGGUGCUUUUCCUUUCAUCCACACGCUUUACUGUUCCCAAGUCCGGAUGCUUCCGCACCCUUUGAUCCACAAGCACCUCUUCUUUUCGCUCCGUUUCGUUGCUUUCUCCUCCACGGUUUAGUUCUUGCUUCAGUAACAAUCAGACACGUCCCCACACCUUUUCCUUCUUGCUGCAGUUAAGCUUUCCUCCUCCACCACUCAGUUCUUGCUUCAGUUCGAAUCAAUUUUACCACCCAAAAACCCAGAUCGCUGUUGCUCAUCCAAAACCCACACAGCCGCCACCGCCACUUCAUCCAUCACCACGUUUUACGGAUUCCUGUUGACUGAAGACCGUUCCCGGUUCCCGCAACAGCCUCUGGUGUGUCUUCUACAACUCCUACAUCGACGAGCUAGAUAGCUGCUUUGCCUGGUCUCCACCCCACAUUUAACAAGUUCAAAUUCCAUAGAAGUCGGUUCUGCAGAUUGUGUCUGCAAUUAGAUCAGAGAUGAACUGCUCUUUUGUUAUCAUGCGGAAGAUUGCUUUUGGGAAGGAUCUGAAGCAGUUCCUAUAUGUGAUUGCUGACCUGUGACUUUGUUUGGAGCUCACGUGGCUCCCGUUGGAUUCAGUAUGCUUGAGCUACUGCCAAUCUAUAGGUUGGGUGCCACUUUAAAUGUAGGAAAAUUAAAAAAAAGGAUCUUCAGUUGCUGUUUUUGGACUUGACUAUGUUGGCUUCACUUAUUUGAAACCUUUUCAGUCGAACAAGAUUAGAGUUCAAAUAUGAAGAUUUGGAGACCCAAAGUAAUCGGAUCUCAUGAUCGAAUUGGUGGUUUUCUAAGCAUAUUACUUAAUUAUAUGGUAACAAAACUGAAAAAGAAUCAUCAAUUGCUCUUUUUUUGACUUGGCUCCGGUGGCCUCGCUCGUAACAGAUGACUCGGCUUGACUUCAAUACCAAGAGGUUUAAAAAAGGUAUUUAUGAUAUUGUCAUAUUGAUUCACCGUGAUUUAACAGGUAGAACUUGGAAAUUAAACAAGCACAAUCUCAAAUCAGGUGCAUUUUGCCACAUCACCAACAUCUACUACUACACAUUAGGGACAAUUAAACAAGCACGUUGUAGAAUCCAUAAAAAAUCAUGUAAAUUGUAUAUAGUUAGGACUUAGAAAUUAGCUAUUUUGAUGGUACAUAGGCUCGUAAUGCAAAUCCAAUAGAAUCUAGAUGAAAUUGAAAGACUUAUUACACAACCUCAGGCGAAUCAAUCUCUUCAAAACGCAUUGGAUCGUUACAUGAAAAGGAGCCAGUAGUGAUCGUGUUCUUGAGACAUGAUUUUGACCUCAAGUACAUGCGCCGCAACCACUUGGCCACCCAAAUAAGAAACCGAAUAGUGUGUAUUACAACGACUAUGGCCAGCAACCCAUACCAAACAUAGACGGAAUACCUGUAAACGCUUAAACUUGAGUUUGCGUAAACCCUUGAAUAUGAAAAAUCGAAAGGAGGAGGGACAAUCAUGAGCAGCACUUGUAGGUAGGUGGAUGCCAUGAAUGUGAGAGUGAUGCACAUGGACAUCGAUAAGAGCCACAUGCACAAUCGAUUGUGGAGAGGAAAUCCACUAACGAGCAAAAGGGUGACACUCAAAGAAGCAAGGAACGAGAUGGUAUUGUAAUUUACGAAAGCGACGAAGUCUUCUCCCCAAAUGGAGCCUAACACUGCAGUUCCAGCUAUGCAUGUUCUCUCUUCACUGCAAAUUGUUCUGUUAUAAAUGGUAGUGUUUGUAUUAUUGGUUUCCCAAACACCACCUGGUGGGUUGACUAUGGCUUGAAAAGUCAUGGUCGAGAUCAUCGUAGCCACAACCAUCAGCAUGCCACGUGUCUCGACCACCCAAUUACUCGGAUAUCUCAAGCAUUUCAUAAAUUUUAUCCAGCACCUCCUUGCUGGCGUUGAUCCAUUUUCCGAUGAUGCUACUCGUUUGUGAAGCUUCUUUUUCUUCUUUACCCUUCCUGGAUUAUCAUUUUCAUUAUUUUCUCUUCUGAUUAAUCCUGCGUCCAUCAAAAUCUGUGGAAUUUCUAAGCUUCUGCUAAAGUCCUCUCUUGCAACGCUGCUGUACUCUAUGAUAUCUAACAUGGUCUGAGACAUCCCAUUCACACCAGUUGCUUCUGCUCUUAUAGCAUCAACGGAAAGCAGGAUCUUGGAUGUGCAGAGGAUCAAGCUAUCGACAACCUCUACGGGAAACACGUCGGGCAAUGGGUCAGGUCCAGAUUUCUAGAUGCCCAAUAAAAAACAGACCUGAGGUUCCUAACCCAUUCGAGACUAAGCUUUCUGUCGGCCGGCCAGCCAACUGGGGUUUUCGGAUUAGGCUUUGGCUACGAUGGGUUGUCUUCGGAUUCGAAGUUGGUGAUAGCGGAAGAUGCCGAAUCGAUGACCGGCAACAGUUCUGCUGCUAAUACUUCUUGCAACUUUUUGAGAUGCAGAUGGACGGAAUUCUCUUUUAUUCCAGUUGAAAGGGAGGUAAGGGAAGGGAGUGGGUUGCAGAUCUGGGGAACGGAAACCCAUAUGCAGCACAAAAAGCAGUGGAUUCAUUCUACCGCUGCCCCAUGUGCAGUCGAAGGGACGGAGAUAGAGGCUUUUGUUUUUUUUGGUCAAAGGGAGAUAGAGGCUCAAAUUUGGUCAUUUGCGAUUCCUCCUCAAUGUUUAUCAGAUUACUUAUGGGGUGUAGUGAAAUGAGGAUUUUAAGGAGUAGGGAUUAUCAUUCCUCUUUUUUUCUUUCCCUUACCUCAUUUUCUAUUUGAACGGUUUAAUCCACAAUAAUAUCUUAUAUUAAUUUUUUAUAGAAAAAAAUAAAUAAAAUAAAGAAUAUAAUGGAGAGGUUAAAAUCACAAUUAAGGUUUGAUGUUAUGU